AUGUUCUGGGACCUGAUUCAGCUACUCUUCCUAGUCCACUGUGGUCUUGUGAGGUCAGCGCUUGGUCAAGAUUAGGAGAAAAACUGCAGGGCUGCAGAGACCUCUCUGUCCAACAUCUCCCUACGUGGGCACUACUCUGCUGUGAGCUCUGGGUGGACACCAGGCAUGAUUUACAAUCCCUUUCAGGGAAUUAUUGCUGCUAAUGGGCAGAGCCAAUUUAUGCUUCCCAAGGGGGAGGGCAAAAUCAAUUAAUGGAGAGCCUGACAUGGCCAGGCCUGAUGACAGAGUGUGGCCUGACAUCCGGAGGUGAUAAGGGACUUUCUGAGGCUGAACUAAUAAGGAGAUUGGGGAAAAAGAAGAAAAACAACACCCCCUCCCCAUCUGCCCAAUCGAUUUGGUGUACAAUGGGCAGAGAAUGCAGAGUAAACAGAGCAGCUGGGCACGAGCCUCUUUCCAUCUGAACGAGCCUGGAGAUAAGGACUGGACAGGCCGCCCAUCCCACCAUCAACAUAGAACGGGAAGUAAGAAGACAAGUACACCGAGCCUAUGAUGGUCAUGUGUUCCUGUCACUCUGGACUUGUGGUUCCCAGCUCUGCUACACAACGGAAAUCUCUGGAGAAUCUCUAGACAUCCUGGUGCCCAGACCACAGCCCAGAACCAUUCAGUCAGGAUCACUGGGGUGGGUCCAGGUGAUUCUGAGGCAUGGCCAUGGCUGAAACUCACUGCUUUUGUCUCUCUAGUACAAGGACUGGCAGGGCAAGAGCUGGGGGCCCGUGGGCACGUGGCUGCUGAUGAGAUCUGGGCUCUGAUGUUUCUGCUGCACUGUUGAAAUGCAGCCUGGGCCAGGAUUGUGAACGCUGCCGGUGGUAGGGAGCAUGGAGUCUGAGCCAUCUCCCACCCAGGAUGGUCUCUGAGCCCCUCACACACUUGCAUGCAGUAAUGACAGGGGGUGGGUGGGGUGGGGCCUGGGAAGAAAUGCUACAGAAUAGGGGGGAGAGCACGCUCUGCCCCAAGACAUAGCUCCUUACAUGCACAGACCUCAACACAAAAGGCACCAUUUCAAACUCAUUCACUUUAUGGGCCCCAGUUAAGUGAUGAAGCUCUGUCUGUAUUGGGGUUUUGAUUACCGUGGGCUCCCAGAAAGGAGGGCACACUACAGAUGUACCAUUAAGAAAAAGCAAAAUCACACCUCAUGGUGUUGGGCCAGCUCUCACCACAGAGGCCACUUCCCUGUUAAUAAUUCCUUGGUGCUUGGGAGUUGAUAAGGGACUUUAAUGGAGAUUAUCUGGGAAAGGAUCAGAGCCUGGGCAAGGGUGGAAUCUGUACAUGACAGACAGUGAGAGGGAGGCUUGGGGAGGUGACCUGCCCAGUGUCACGCAGAGCAGAGAUGGCCUUGGAAUUUCCGCCUUUUCCCUCCCAGCUCGGGGCUCUUUCUCUUUCCCUGGGAGGGUUUCUGAACACAGAAGAGAGCUGGAGGGUUUCUCUGAGUGGGGCUGGAGGGCUGGGAGAGGCAGGACCUCUUCCUAACACCUCUUGGAGAAGACAGACUUGUGGUUAUGGGGGUCGCACCAUGGUUCCUUUCCAGAUGGGAAUACUUCCAAACUCAGGGAUUAAGCAAGAUUAAAAACAAAAAGGCCCUCUAGAAAGGGGUUAACCUCAUUUCCUCAGACAUAAAAACUGUCCUUGGCAGUUGGAAACAGCAGAGUUGACUCCACGGAUGACUGAUGCCCCUUACGGGUGUUAUAUACCUGUCCACGCCUGCCCCUGGCAGGGAUUUAAACAUUCCAUGCUGUUCCAUGAAUCCUAAAUCAAAUAGAUUCAUCCUGGCCCUUGGUGAAGCCUAAGAGCUGGCGAGGCUUAUGUUAAAUUGCCCUCUCUGGGCUCCUGCUCCUGAGCUGACAGUCACAAAUUCCCCUUAAUGAGCACUCCUGAAGUAACCAAGGCAGCGCUGUGAGCUAAAUUAAGAUUCGAGAGCCCAGGCAGGGAGAGGGAGGUGUUUGCUUUGGCUGAGAAGGUGCCUGGGCCCCGGCCUGUGUGUUUGCCUGGGUGCCCUGAUAAGUGGGCUGCAUAUUAAGUGCCACAUGGUGGGACCAGAACCAUCUGCUGUAUGUCUGAGAGGUCACGCCUGCUGGCCCUUUGGGACCUGGUGGCAGAGGGACCCCGUGUCAACCUGUCUUUGGCUUCCUUUGUGGCCCCGUGGUCACUGAAAAGCCAGAAUGAAUAUUCUUCCUUUCGGAAUAAAAAUUGAGCUGUGGAAGUUUUGUUUGCUUUGAUGAAUUACUUCCAGGCUGCUGUUUAUUUGGAGAGCAAAGCUCCCCAGCUGCAGGGUGGGUAGAGGCUGCGGUCACUCCCCUCGUCAAUGCUGGUUCCUGUUCCUGAGGCCGAGAGAACUCCUGACAGCAGAGUGGGCAUAUCUUGGUAGUUGCAGCUUUUCAAGACAGUGUGGCCCAGUGGGGAGAGAGCAGAAAACCUGGGUUAUGCUGGCUCUGCCAUUUAUCAGCUGUGUAACCUUGGGCAAGUGAUACAACCUCUGUGUGCCUCAGUUUCCUUUCCUCACCUGUCCACAGGGGAUCAUAAUCUUGGCCCUGCAUGCCUUACAGGAGCGUUAAGAGCAUCAAAUGAAACAAUAAAAAUGAAAACAUUUAUAAAUGGUAGUUUGCCAUACAUAUUUUAAUAAAAGUGCCUGCCCUUCAAUCCAGCUCUCUGCACUGCCUGGGGACAGUGUUAGCAGGAGGACACCACUCUGACAGGGACCUGGACUUCCGCCUCUUCUGUUUGGAGAGAGUUAGAUGAUCACAUCUCUUAUAUGUACAAAAGCUUAGUGAAUGUAACUUAAAGAUAUUGCUUGCUUGUAGGCUUCUUGAGGGGAGGAAUGAUGGUUGGUUUCUAUGGAUUUGUUACAGGGGAAGGGAUAUCUCAGCUCAAAGGAUAUCCUGCGUAUCCAAGCCUUCCUCCACUUGUGCCCCACACACUGUCCCCUCUACUUUCUCAAGGAAGUUUUUCCUGCAGCUCUGCUCCCCUCUCCCACCACAGCAUCAGUUUCCCUCUCUAUGCAUGUUUCAGCACGUGAGCAUGUCUUAAAGCAUCCCUCUGGGCUCCUGCUUCCCUUUAGCUCCAGCCCAGUUCUCUGCUCCUGUCACUGCUCAACCCCCUGGAGGGGUUGUAUCUGCUCACUGCCUCAGCCUCUUUCCCUUCCACCCUCUCCCCAGCCACUCCCAGUCCCCUGGCUAAAUGGUGCUUGUCCAUGAUCACCCUGACAUGCAAAAUGGCCAGUGGUCCACAUUCCAUCCUGCCACACUCUACUGGCCCGUCUCCCCUUGGAGCUUGUGCUUCUCCAGCUUGUGCUUCUCCAGCUUGUGCCUGAGGCCAUACCCACUUAUCUGCUGUUCCUUUUCGCACCCUGGCAGUGCCUUCUCAGCAUCUCUGCUUCCUCUCUCUCCGCAACUGUUGGAGAACCCCAGGGGGCUGUUCUCAGCAAUUUGAAUACCUCCAUCUCUGGUCUUCAGAGGACAUUGUACUCAGUCCUGUGGCUUCAGACACCAACCAGACAUGAUGACUUGCAUAUUUCUUUUUCUAGCUUAGACUUUCUCUCUGAGCUCCACUGAUGCUCACCUGUCUACUCGACACCUCCUCUUGGACAUCAAAUGUCAUCUGAAACUUCAAAAAGGGCAGCCAGAACUCUCCAUCCCUCCAGCUCCUUGCCUCUGAUGGUCAUGCCUCCCUGCCUUUCUCAUUUCAGUAAAUGGCACUGCCAUUCUCUUCGCUGCUCAGAUCAAAAGCCCAGGAGGUGCCCUGACUCUCCUCUUUCUCUUGCAUCUCAUAUUUGGUCUACUGGUGAGUCCAAGCCACAAUCAUCCCUUGCUGGCACUUUCAUGGUAGCCUGGUAACUGGUCUACCCUUGGCCCCUACAAUCUACACUACAUGUGACAGACAAAGUGAGCUUUUUAAAGCAUCAAUCACAUCAUAUCACUCCAUGGUUAAAAUUAUUCAGUGGGCUUCCACUCUAUCCAGAAUAAAAUCCAAAUCUCUUUCCCCUGUGCAUAAGGCUGGUGUGACUUGGCCCUUGUGCUCUUGCUCCCUGCCCUCCAGCCACUCUAGCUUCCUUCCCACCCUGUGGCCAAGCAAAGCUUCCCCUUCAGGCUUCUCGCUUUCCGCUCUGUCUGCUAGGACUGUGCAUUCCCAGAACGCGGCGUAGCUGCUCCAUUCUCAUGAUGCAGCUGUCAGUUUAAAGUUAUCUUCUCCAGCAAGGCCUCCCCAACCUACCCAGCUAAAAGCAGUCUUCCCAGUUACUGUCUACAACAUUACAUAGUUUAGCUAUUUCAUAGCACUUAUUAUCCCCUCAAACAAUCUUACGUAUUUGUCGACGUGUUCAUUGUCUGUCUCCUUCCUCCCCCUAGAAUGUCAGUUUCUCACGUGCUGGGUUCUGUCUUGUUCUCUGCUGUAGCACCAGCACUAGUAGUAGUGCCUGGCAUAAGAAGGCACCCAACAUAUACAGUGUUUGCUGACUGAUUGGCUGUUCAUUGCUGUUCAGUGCCUGAUACCUAUCAUCAGAGUAUUUGGGGCAUAGAUGGGGACUUGGAGAUCACUGAAUCCAGUUUUUUAUUUUUUUUUAUUUUUUUUUAUUUUUUUUUAUUUUUAGACAAGGAAACUGAGAAUGAGACAAGAUCACAGCAGAGGUGGGGCUGUCUCAGGCUUAAGAAAGGACCUGACAGUGUUGCUGAGGCUGCUGGUCCUGGUGGUGAAGAGAGGAUAGUAAAUAAGCAGGCUGGCGGCCAAGCAAGAAGCCUGAGCAGAGGAGACAGCUGACUUUGGGAACAGAGAACAAAGGAGCUGAAGAUCUGGAAGAGACAGAGAGCAAGCUCUGCCAAGAGGGACAGGAGCACCUGGGCCGCCCACCCACUUGGGCCUGUCUUGGUGUUUCUGAUGCUGCCCCUUGAGGCUUUCUCGAGAAGGAAUCAGAGGCUGGGCACAUGUGACUGACAGGCAGGCCAGUCCUGUGGCUUCAGGAAUAUGCAGGAAACUCCCUACUCCCCUCCCACCUCACUGUGUGCUCCCCACAAGUGUUGGUGACCUGCUGCCCAGGAGGAGCCACCGAGGGAGGUGCACUUACAUUGCUUCUGCAGAAUGCUCUGUCUGGCCUUGAUGAAGGCGAUGAUGUCCGAGUCCGUCUGGCUGUCUCCGGUGAGAGGGAUGGACGACACUGGCCUCUUGGGGAUGCUGGAGGCAACCACGUGUCACAUUUUACUACACUUUACAACUGGACUCACCACUUAUAUUUCCAAAAUGCUUUUCCAUUUUAGGUGACUGAUCUCACUCAGAAAGCUACAUGACACGGCUGGCCUGCUUCUCACUCCCUCCUACCUUCUCUGUGUGGCAGCCACACUAAGCCUCUUGUCAUGCAAAUUGGGUCAAGUCAUUCCCUGCCAUAGACCCUGAUAUGGUUUGGCUGUGUCCUCACCCAAAUCUCAUCUUGAACUGUAGCUCCCAUAAUUUCCACGUGUUGUGGGAGGGACCAGGUGGGAGAUAACUGAAUCAUGGGGACGGUUUCCUCCAUACUGUUCUCGUGGUAGUGAAUAAGUCUCAUGAGAUCUGAUGUUUUCAUACGAGGUUUCCCCUCUCACUUGGCUUUCAUUCUGUCUUGGCUGCCACCAUGUAAGACGUGCCUUUCACCAUGAUUGUGAGGCCUCCCCAGUGACAUGAACUGUGAGUCCAUUAAAUCUCUUUUUCUUUAUAAAUUACCCAGUCUCAGGUAUGUCUUUAUCAGAAGUGUGAAAACAGACUAAUACAGACCCUUUAGUGGCUUUUCACCACUCAUGGAAUAAAACUUAAACUCUGUCCCAUGACCUACCAGGCUGUGUAUGAUAUGACCCCGG
rnacentral:lncRNA from 1 species